rnacentral:rRNA from 1 species
UACAGAGGGUGCGAGCGUUGUUCGGAAUUAUUGGGCGUAAAGCGCACGUAGGCGGCUCUUUAAGUCGGGGGUGAAAUCCUGGAGCUCAACUCCAGAACUGCCUUCGAUACUGGAGAGCUUGAGUUCGGGAGAGGUGAGUGGAACUGCGAGUGUAGAGGUGAAAUUCGUAGAUAUUCGCAAGAACACCAGUGGCGAAGGCGGCUCACUGGCCCGAUACUGACGCUGAGGCACGAAAGCGUGGGGAGCAAACAGG